rnacentral:rRNA from 1 species
CCUACGGGGGGCAGCAGUGAGGAAUAUUGGUCAAUGGGCGGGAGCCUGAACCAGCCAAGUCGCGUGAAGGAAGAAGGUACUUAGUAUUGUAAACUUCUUUUGUCGGGGAACAAAGGCGGAGACGCGUCUCCGGAUGAGUGUACCCGAAGAAAAAGCAUCGGCUAACUCCGUGCCAGCAGCCGCGGUAAUACGGAGGAUGCGAGCGUUAUCCGGAUUUAUUGGGUUUAAAGGGUGCGUAGGCGGUCCGUUAAGUCAGCGGUAAAAUUGCGGGGCUCAACCCCGUCGAGCCGUUGAAACUGGCAGAC